GACGAACGCUGGCGGCGUGCUUAACACAUGCAAGUCGAACGGAAAGGCCCUGCUUGCAGGGUACUCGAGUGGCGAACGGGUGAGUAACACGUGGGUGAUCUGCCCUGCACUUCGGGAUAAGCCUGGGAAACUGGGUCUAAUACCGGAUAGGAGCCAUUUUUAGUGUGAUGGUUGGAAAGUUUUUUCGGUGUAGGAUGAGCUCGCGGCCUAUCAGCUUGUUGGUGGGGUAAUGGCCUACCAAGGCGGCGACGGGUAGCCGGCCUGAGAGGGUGGACGGCCACAUUGGGACUGAGGUACGGCCCAGACUCCUACGGGAGGCAGCAGGGGGGAAUAUUGCACAAUGGGCGCAAGCCUGAUGCAGCGACGCCGCGUGGGGGAUGACGGCCUUCGGGUUGUAAACUCCUUUCGCUAGGGACGAAGCUUUUUGUGACGGUACCUAGAUAAGAAGCACCGGCUAACUACGUG
rnacentral:rRNA from 1 species